rnacentral:rRNA from 1 species
ACGUAGGGUGCGAGCGUUAAUCGGAAUUACUGGGCGUAAAGCGUGCGCAGGCGGUUCGCUAAGACGGGUGUGAAAUCCCCGGGCUUAACCUGGGAAUGGCACCUGAGACUGGCAGGCUAGAGUACGGGAGAGGGGUGUGGAAUUUCAUGUGUAGCAGUGAAAUGCGUAGAUAUAUGAAGGAACAUCAGUGGCGAAGGCGGCACCCUGGGCCGAUACUGACACUGAGGUGCGAAAGCGUGGGGAGCAAACAG